AUUGAACGCUGGCGGCAGGCCUAACACAUGCAAGUCGGACGGUAGCACAGAGGAGCUUGCUCCUCGGGUGACGAGUGGCGGACGGGUGAGUAAUGUCUGGGGAUCUGCCCGAUAGAGGGGGAUAACCCCUGGAAACGGUGGCUAAUACCGCAUAACGUCGCAAGACCAAAGAGGGGGACCUUCGGGCCUCUCACUAUCGGAUGAACCCAGAUGGGAUUAGCUAGUAGGCGGGGUAAUGGCCCACCUAGGCGACGAUCCCUAGCUGGUCUGAGAGGAUGACCAGCCACACGGGAACUGAGACACGGUCCAGACUCCUACGGGAGGCAGCAGUGGGGAAUAUUGCACAAUGGGCGCAAGCCUGAUGCAGCCAUGCCGCGUGUAUGAAGAAGGCCUUCGGGUUGUAAAGUACUUUCAGCGGGGAGGAAGGCGGUGAGGUUAAUAACCUUGCCGAUUGACGUUACCCGCAGAAGAAGCACCGGCUAACUCCGUGCCAGCCGCCGCGGUAA
rnacentral:rRNA from 1 species